AUGGCUAAGCAGGCUCUAAGGAGUACUCUGUGGCUUCUGCCAAGCAUCUUACUGUGUUUCCCAUUCUGUCCUCCCUUGAGUGGCCAGGUGUGCUCCACUGUGGGUUACAGAGCUUCCAGUUUACUGUGAACCUCAGCCUGGAGGCAGAGAGUCCCAUGCUAACAGCUUGGGAUAGCCAAGGGCUGCCACACAGGCUUAAGAAUGACUCUGACUGGUACAUGGGUGAUGGACAGAACUGAUGGAUUUUUGGUAUUGGAAGCCACCCACAAUGUCACUCUGGAAGGCUCCCAUUAUGUCAUGAUGGUCGGCGUGCAAGAGGUAGAUGUAGCUGGAAAUAUGAGAGGGACAAGAGAGACUGCUUAAGUGCCCUUUGGAUCUUCACACCCGAAAUACAGCAAGUGCUGAAGUGUGCAGUCCUGUGCUCCCUCGCCCAUCUCCAGAGGAAACUGUGAAGAGGUGGUCUGCUGCUACAGCUCUGAAGAGGAAAAGGCAGGUUCCUGUUACUAUGGAAACACAGUGACCUCCCGUUGUACCAGGGAAGGCUGCUUUUCCAUUGCUGUGUUCAGGAAUGCAACCUCGCCACCCCUACGCUUGGAUUCCCUAUCCUUGGUCUUCAGGAACAGCAGUGGGUGUGAUCCUGUGAUGAUGACAUCCACCUUUGUCCUGUUCCAAUUUCCACUUACUUCCUGUGGGACCACACGGCAGAUCACUGGAGACCAGUCCGUGUACAAAAAUGAGCUAGUAGUCAUUCGGGAUGUGCAAGCUUGGGGCAGAAGCUCUAUUACCCGAUACAGCAACUUCAGUCCUAGGCUCAUCCUUGCAUUGAGAGCCU